UGCCAGCCGCCGCGGUAAUACGUAGGGUCCAAGCGUUGUCCGGAUUUACUGGGUGUAAAGGGUGCGCAGGCGGAACGGUAAGUCAGGGGUGAAAUCCCACAGCUCAACUGUGGCACUGCCUUUGAUACUGCUAUUCUUGAGUGCGGGAGAGGCUGAUGGAAUUCCUGGUGUAGCGGUGAAAUGCGCAGAUAUCAGGAAGAACACAGUAGCGGAGGCGGUCAGCUGGCCCGCAACUGACGCUCAGGCACGAAAGCGUGGGUAGCGAACAGGAUUAGAUA
rnacentral:rRNA from 1 species